AACAAAUAUGAAAAGCACAGACACAGACAUUACUUCAUAACAUGUCCUACGUUGCUCCUACAAAAUUUAGUACUAUAGCUAUAAACACGAAUCAUUGUAAACGUCACGAAUAGCGCCCCCUUUCGGUAUUCUUGUGUACCGGAAAUCCAACAUGGCGGCUGGUCUGAUAGCAAGCAAUCAUGUGUAAUAACAUAAACUAUCAUAGUGGCCGCUAUGGGUGUUCAGACAACUUUACCGAUAUCUUGGUGAAGACGUAGAGAAGGAGAGAGACCACGGACAGGUACACGGUGAUCCUCUGUCCUCCAAACCGCUUCCUCAGAAAUGUAGACCGGAACAAAGAUCCAUCCCAACAUCACCAUGAUGAAUAUAGCCUGGAACACGGUUUGGGUUGUUCUGUACCAUCAGCAGGUGCGUUGUGUUGAGGGGCGGACUCGGUGACAGUUCCACGAGAAGUGACGUCCGAGAAGAUCGGCUCUACAAACUUCUCUCGCCCGCGGACAAGGAUGUAACGGCGAACCAGACGAGACAAGACCUCCUGGAAAAAAA